rnacentral:rRNA from 1 species
CCUACGGGAGGCAGCAGUGACGAAUAUUGGGCAAUGGGCGCGAGCCUGAACCAGCCAAGUAGCGUGAAGGAUGACUGCCCUACGGGUUGUAAACUUCUUUUAUAAAGGAAUAAAGUGAGGCACGUGUGCCUUAUUGUAUGUACUUUAUGAAUAAGGAUCGGCUAACUCCGUGCCAGCAGCCGCGGUAAUACGGAGGAUCCGAGCGUUAUCCGGAUUUAUUGGGUGUAAGGGGAGCGUAGAUGGGUUGUUAAGUCAGUUGUGAAAGUUUGCGGCUCAACCGUAAAAUUGCAAUUGAUACUGGCAGUCUUGAGUACAGUUGAGGUAGGCGGAAUUCGUGGUGUAGCGGUGAAAUGCUUAGAUAUCACGAAGAACUCCGAUUGCGAAGGCAGCUUACUAAACUGCCACUGACAUUGAUGCUCGAAAGUGUGGGUAUCAAACAGGAUUAGAUACCCUGGUAGUC